rnacentral:rRNA from 1 species
CCUACGGGAGGCAGCAGUGAGGAAUAUUGGGCAAUGGAGGCAACUCUGACCCAGCCAUGCCGCGUGAGUGAAGAAGGUUUUCGGAUUGUAAAGCUCUUUCGGAUGUGACGAUGAUGACGGUAGCAUCUAAAGAAGCCCCGGCUAACUUCGUGCCAGCAGCCGCGGUAAUACGGAGGAUGCGAGCGUUAUCCGGAUUUAUUGGGUUUAAAGGGUGCGCAGGCGGAUUUUUAAGUCAGCGGUCAAAUCGUGGGGCUCAACCCCAUCCAGCCGUUGAAACUGGGGAUCUAGAGUGUGCGAGAGGUAUGCGGAAUGCGUGGUGUAGCGGUGAAAUGCAUAGAUAUCACGCAGAACCCCGAUUGCGAAGGCAGCAUACCGGUGCACAACUGACGCUCAGGCACGAAAGCGUGGGUAUCGAACAGGAUUAGAUACCCGAGUAGUC